AUGGACCUAACAGAAGCAGAAGAUAUUAAGAAGAGGUGGCAAGAAUACACAGAAGAACUGUACAAAAAAGAUCUUCACAACCAAUAUAUUCGUGAUAGUGUGAUCACUCACCUAGAGCCAGACAUCCUGGAAUGUGAAGUCAGGUGGGCCUUAGAAGGCAUCACUACGAACAAAGCUAGUGAAUGUGAAGGAAUUCCAGUUGAGCUAUUUCAAAUCCUGGAAGAUGAUGCUGUGAAAGUGCUGCACUUAAUAUGCCAGCAAACUUGGAAAACUCAGCAGUGGCCACAGGACUGGAAAAGGUCAGUUUUCAUUCCAAUCCCAAAGAAAGGCAAUGGCAAACAAUGCUCAAACUACUGCACAAUUACACUCAUCUCACACGUUAGUAAAGUAGUUAUCAAAAAUCUCCAAGCCAGACUUCAGCAAUACGUGAACUGUGAACUUCCUGAUGUUCAAGCUGGUUUUAGAAAAGGCAGAGGAACGAGAGAUCAAAUUGCCAACAUCCGCUGGAUCAUCAAAAGAGCAAGAGAGUUCCAGGAAAACAUCUAUUUCUGCUUUAUUGACUACGCCAAAGCCUUUGACUGUGUGGAUCACAAUAAACUGUGGAAAAUCCCGAAAGAGAUGGGAAUACCAGACCACCUGACUUGCCUCUUGAGAAACCUGUCUGCAGGUCAGGAAGCAACAGUUAGAACUGGACAUGGAACAACAGACUGGUUCCAAAUAGGAAAAGGAGUAUGUCAAAGCUGUAUAUUGUCACCCUGCUUAUUUAACUUAUAUGCAGAAUACAUCAUGAGAAAUGCUGGGCUGGAAGAAGCACAAGCUGGAAUCAAGAUUGCCAGGAGAAAUAUCAAUAACCUCAGAUAUGCAGAUGACACCACCCUUAUGGCAGAAAGUGAAGAGGAACUAAAAAUCUUCUUGAUGAUGAAAGAGGAGAGUGAAAAAGUUGGCUUAAAGUUGAACAUUCACAAAACUAAGAUCAUGGCAUCUGGUCCCAUCACUUCAUGGGAAAUAGAUGGGGAAACGUUGGAAACAGUGUCAGACUUUAUUUUUGGGGGCUCCAAAAUCACUUCAGGUGGUGAUUGCAGCCAUGAAAUUAAAAGAUGCUUACUCUUUGGCAGAAAGGUUAUGAUCAACCUAGACAGUGUAUUCAAAAUCAGAGACAUUACUUUGCCACCAAAGGUCCAUCUAGUCUAG
rnacentral:lncRNA from 1 species